rnacentral:tRNA from 1 species
GGAAGGUUAGCCCAGUGGUCUAAGGUAUUGCUCUGCUAAAGCAAAGUUCGUGGGUUCGAAUCCCAUACCUUCCU